rnacentral:rRNA from 1 species
UACGAAGGGGGCAAGCGUUGCUCGGAAUCACUGGGCGUAAAGCGCACGUAGGCGGCUUCCUAAGUCGGGGGUGAAAUCCUGGAGCUCAACUCCAGAACUGCCUUCGAUACUGGGAAUCUUGAGUCCGGAAGAGGUGAGUGGAACUGCGAGUGUAGAGGUGAAAUUCGUAGAUAUUCGCAAGAACACCAGUGGCGAAGGCGGCUCACUGGUCCGGUACUGACGCUGAGGUGCGAAAGCGUGGGGAGCAAACAGG